GCCCUGGUGGUCUAGUGGUUAAGAUUCAGCACUCUCAUGGCUGUGUCCAGGGUUCAUUUCCCAGUUGGGGAA
rnacentral:tRNA from 1 species